GGAAACUAAUUGUGAAGUACACGUACACACACGUACACACACACACACUACAAUUACCACCAUUUCCUCCACUCAUCGUGUCUCUUUCUAUCAGAGAGAGAGGAGAUUGCUUUGUGGCUGGCACAGAGAAAUACGCGUCGGUAUGAAUGGCCAGGCAUGCGAUUGGGCACGUAUGCUUUGCGGGCUAUACGCGACGCUUACGCGCCCGGUGUGUUUUCACUGUUAUAGGGGUUACAGUGUGGCUUUGGAGCAUAUACUGCGCUGUAACUGCUGUAUUUCUCUUCAAAAAGGUAAUUACACAUCAGGGCUACAGCGACUACAGCAAAACCACAUGGAGACGAAUAUUGAUAAUGUAUAAUACAUUCAUCUGGUGUUAUGAUGGUGCUAUCAGCGGGUGAAAUCUGACGCUGAACUAUAAAUAAAAACCUAGGAACAACAGUUAACCUCCUGCAUCAAGUAUACUGUAUAUUCAGUUGAAGACCCAGUGGUUAGAUCCAACAACCAUGGAAGCGUUUUCAUUCUUAAAAUCAAUUUGCUCCACAUCAUGUAUUUUUUCUUCAGAGUUGCCACCAUCAUGGCACACCAGGAUAUAAUUGUUUGUUCUCUCACUCAAAUAAAAUGUGUUUAAGCCUACGUGCACACACUUAAUUUGUCUCCUACACAAAAAAAAAACAUAUUUCUUUCCCAGCUCACUGAACUGCAGGAAGGUCAGGAAUGACCACAUUAUGUCAUAUCAACAGACCACCAUGCACACCAGUGCAGUGAUGAAUAAAGAUCAACCUGUCUUAAACAGCUGCUCCUGACAAACCUGCAAUGAUGGUAAUGAUUACACCAAUACACUCAAAUGGCUUAAAAAGUGUACACUGAAGAGUUUGUGUGUGCUGUUGUUGUGUCUUUUCAGCAGAGAGAAAAAUGUUCUAUUUUAAAGAAAAUGGUGUUUAUAUUAUUAAAAAGAUGAGAUCUCUCAUUGUAUAUGUAAAUACAUCCCUUUUAUUUCCUUUUUGCUGACAAAACAAGGGAAAUGGAAUCAUGUUAAAGGAUUUAGGCUAGUAGUUGGAGUCCAAUUUGAUGUCACCUUUAUCUCAGUCCAAAAAAAUGAGUGGGUGGCCUACAGUAGCCUCGGAAUAAACUCUGGACGAUGCCAUUUGGUUUGUGGUGCUCAAAGUCCCGUAAGGAGUUUAGAAAAAUGAAACCUUUAACAAUAGAAUGACACUGUAACCCACAAUAUUUCACAGACGUUGUCGUGACAGUCUUCAUUGAGAAUUUAGCCUACUCCACACAGAUGCAUUGUUCAAAGUCUGUAGAUUGUUGAAUUCUAACACCACAGCCACUGAAAAUGCUUGUUUCUGAUUUACUGCCACAGUCUGUAUAUUAUUUUUGUUUUCUUUGAGUGUCAUGGCUUCUUACCACGGCUGGAUUAACCUGCUAGCUGGCCUGCUGUUCCUCCAUCUCUGUGCAUUACAUACACAACAUGGCAUCUUAAUUAUCUUUUGCCCAGAGACCAACCAGUACUUUUCUGUUGGCCCCAGGUUUGCUGUGACAAUUUUGUGGUAAUUUAAUUACAUGGAAUUCAGAAAUAUGCACCAGUUUAUAUGUGCCAUAUUUAUCACAAAUCGAUGGAGUCAAAGCAAACAUGCGGCUUUUGCAACCCCUGGGCGUUUGGAGCCUUGUGGCAGUUUUCUGUUUCGACAGAUUGGUAAUCCAGUCUAGCCUCACCAACCCCCCAAAUAAAACUGUGUGCAGACAUUUCCAGCAAAC